rnacentral:tRNA from 1 species
AUUUCUUUAGUAUUAAUGUACAUAUGACUUCCAAUCAUAAAGUCCCGGCUAACCCCGGGGAGAAAUA